AAAAAUUUCACAUCACACCACAAGACUUUAGUCCAUAGAACUAAGAAAAAUACUCAUAAUUGUAACUCAAAAACCAAAGGAAAAAACAUACAAUUUUUUUAUUUAAGGAAGCAAGCAAAAACCAAAAAAUAGAGAAAAUCUGAAAACAAAAUAAAGAAAAAAUAACAAAUAAAUGGUUCCCUCCCCCACACUUAAAACAUGCAUUG
rnacentral:lncRNA from 1 species